GACGAACGCUGGCGGCGUGCUUAACACAUGCAAGUCGAACGGAAAGGCCCUUCGGGGUACUCGAGUGGCGAACGGGUGAGUAACACGUGGGUGAUCUGCCCUGCACUUUGGGAUAAGCCUGGGAAACUGGGUCUAAUACCGAAUAUGAUCAUCGGCUUCAUGGUCGGUGGUGGAAAGCUUUUGCGGUGUGGGAUGGGCCCGCGGCCUAUCAGCUUGUUGGUGGGGUAAUGGCCUACCAAGGCGACGACGGGUAGCCGGCCUGAGAGGGUGACCGGCCACACUGGGACUGAGAUACGGCCCAGACUCCUACGGGAGGCAGCAGUGGGGAAUAUUGAACAAUGGGCGCAAGCCUGAUGCAGCGACGCCGCGUGAGGGAUGACGGCCUUCGGGUUGUAAACCUCUUUCAGCACAGACGAAGCGCAAGUGACGGUAUGUGCAGAAGAAGGACCGGCCAACUACGU
rnacentral:rRNA from 1 species